rnacentral:rRNA from 1 species
CGGGUGAGUAACACGUGGAUAACCUACCUAUAAGACUGGGAUAACUUCGGGAAACCGGAGCUAAUACCGGAUAAUAUAUUGAACCGCAUGGUUCAAUAGUGAAAGACGGUUUUGCUGUCACUUAUAGAUGGAUCCGCGCCGCAUUAGCUAGUUGGUAAGGUAACGGCUUACCAAGGCAACAUGCGUAGCCGACCUGAGAGGGUGAUCGGCCACACUGGAACUGAGACACGGUCCAG